rnacentral:snRNA from 1 species
GAAAGAGAGAGAGAGAGAGAA